UUAACCACCUCUUGAUCCUGAAAAGGAGGCAGUAACAUGCAGUGGCCUGGAUGGGAUCCUGCACCCCUCUCGAUUUCUGCCUUUGCAAAGCGGGGGAUAAUGAGGUGGCUCUUGUGGGGAAUGCAUGAGAUAAUUUGCAUAGAAUUCUCACAACAAUGCCUGGAACCUAGCGAGGGCUCAACAAAGAACAGCUGAUACAACUAAGGAGGGGAGGGAGGUCACUGCUGGGGUCCAGGAGAAUGGCUAUUCUGAGAGUGUGGACCCAGCUCUCCCGGAAUGGGGUCCGGCACAGGCUGGGGUGGGUGACAGAGGUGGGCCUGGUGCUUCGGAGCUGCCAGUGGGCCUCCUGAGUAGCCAGGCUCUGGUGAGUGCUCGGGCACACGGAGGCUCUCGAGGAUUUGGCCAGGCGUAAUGUGAUAUGUGGCCUAUAGGCUUGGGUGGCACUGGAGUCACGUGUCCCUCUGUAUUUUUAGCCGUUAAUUGGAGGGAUUUUUCAGCCUUGUUCAAUCAGGUGCCUGAACAUCCAGGACCUUGGGCUCCUGACUCCUGAGUCAGGCCGGAUGGUUGCUUAAGGCUCUACAGUCAGGCUUGUAGACAGCAGCUCAGAGCCCUGCCACUGCUAACAUCCCUGUGCUGGGCGGGGGACCCAGUGCAGCAUGAGAAAGGCCUCAAGACCUGCCACCCCAACCCUGCCUGCAGACCCCUUGGAAAGCCAACAGAUCUCUAGAAGCCCCCUGAUUUUCUACCCUCUUCUAAAUAAACUUGCUCUCCACCUCAGCUGGGACCCCAAAUCUACUCCCCCACCCCAUGCCUGACAUGUUCCCCAGAAUGCCACCGUCAUGAGGCCAGGCUUCACUGUACCCUGUGGCCAGGGGUCUUCUGCAGCCUUCUGUCACUGUGCCCUUCCCUUUCCUUGUGUUGGGCUGAGAAGCAGAAACCCCUGCUCCCACCCCACCCCAAGCGCUCACUGAGGACGGGUGACACACUACCAAAGCGUCUGCAGUUGUGUUGUCUUUUGUGCUGGGGGAUGUUGUCUUUCUUUCGGGUAACAUAACAAUCCUGUGAGCCUAUCGUUUCAAAUAAACACAGCUGACCUUCUAUUAUUGUAUCAGGAUCAAGCUGGCCGGAACACAAGGGCCCCUGCAUCCCUGGAGCACAUGCCGCUGACGGGCUGGCUCUGACUGCGCUGCUGCUGGCCUGCCUUCCUCAGCCCGGGCCUAGCACCGCCGCAGCCUUAAACCCAUCCCAGCCUCUCACGUACCAGACUCGCAGUGGUUCCCUGGCCCAGGAACCCAGACCUCAGGUCUGCCUUCCAGCCUCCUGAGGGUCUGGGCAGAGGCCGGGCCCUGCUAGCAUGGCCCUCCUGACGCCCUUCUAGAGUCAAGCUGACGCUGAGCUCCGGCUUAUGUCUGUCUCCACUCCCCAAAUCCCACCAGCCGGACCUGCGUGGCAGGGGUGGGCAGCCAGGGAAGCUGAGCACCAUGGGGCACAUGACAGAGGGGAGAGAGGCCUAAAGAUGCUCAUCCUCCAUCCCUGCUGUCCAGGUCUGGGAGCAACGAGGCCAAUCCACAAAAUGAGGGGCUUUUUUUUUUUUUUUCUGGGCCUAGCUCACUGGGGCUCCUGCUGGAGGAAGCUGUGCGUAUCUUGCUCUCCCCUGUCCCAAGAUCGACCCUGCUGCUGGAACACAAGUUUGAAUAUUCCUAACAGGACAACAGCAGUCUUUUGGGUUCUGUUUCUUGGGGUGGAGCAAGGAAAAGGAAGGAGGAGGCAGGGGUGGGCAGAGGAAGCAUCUCAGCCGGAAAUCCCCAGCCUGCUUGGAGAAGGGCUUCCUCUGUUCUCAAACAGGCCAAGGAGAGACUUUAUCCUUCAAUUGCUACAGUCAGUCCCCGAUUAUCUCCAUCAUCGAGGUUUGGAUGUGAAACACCAUCAUCUGAUACAAUGACUAAUCGAAAAGUCCCACUUUUUUGGCCAUGGCUAGGCUGCCGGACAUCACCCCCCACCGCCACACACACACACACACACACUUGCACACACAUGCUGGAUGGGUGGGGAGUCGGACUCACACAAGCCACGCUGCCAUAGAGGGCCAUGUGCAGAGGAGCCACAGAGCUCCACACGAAGCAAGAGACUCCAACAUACUGAGUCGGCCGUACGUACAAAGGGGCAGAUGUACAGACACGCACGGAUGAUGAACAGCUCCAUACAGCCCAUGGCCAGAGAGACACAUCAGCUGCUCCCACCAGACGCACUGCCACCCCACACCCCUCUUUCUGACUGCUGCGUGCAGAGGGCACUGGGGGCUCCUGUUCCCCCACGAUCCGUUAGGAACUGGAGACCCCAGGGAGAUGAGGCUGAGCUGGGGGCUGUGCCCCAGGGAUGGAUCAAAGGGCCUUGCUCAAUUUUAGGGGUUCACUUACCCGGUGUGGGUACUCUCCACACUGACCCUGGGAAGGAGAGAGAAGGGAAAGGGGGUGUUAGGCACUUGUUGGGGGUACCUGUCUCUCAGGGCACCCCCAGAACUUCAGGACAUGUCACACAUCUCACCACUCACCAGCCCUCCUGCUCUAGCUUUCAUUUGAGCCCUCUGAGGCAGGAGAACUAAGUCCCUCCCUUGCCCCUGGCUAGCAGCAGGGAAGAAACUUCCAGGGCCUGUCUGGAAGUUGCCCCAUGGAGCCUAGGGGCGGAGCUUCGCCUUACACCACUUGCCAUAAUGGCAGAGUCGGGAGUUAUGCCCCAUGCCUGGCUAAAGGUUGACCCUCUAGACAGGCCCACCAGACAGCCCUGAACAGAAGCCACUGGAUGGGAGCAGCUGGCACCAUGGGGGCCCCCAAGCCACCUUCUCUGAGCUGGGAGCACCAGGCCCCUGUACCAGUGGCCCAAAAGCAAGCACAGCAGAGUCUCUAUCAGAAAUUCAACAAGACAGAGAGGGCAGGAGGCCAGGCCAGUGGUUGACAGAUUGAUGCCUCAGAAUCCCAGAGGCUCACAGAGACGUCAGGGAACACCAUGGGGUGACAGCUGGGAGGGGCCCAGAAACAGGCUGAAGAGGGCCAGGCUCCAGAAGGACCCCUGGAAAAGGAUGUCACCCAGGCCAGGCUCCAGGAGGACCCUUCACUCCAAGAAAAGGAUGUCACCUGGAGCGGCGUCAACUGAAUCUAUUAUGCGGCACCUCGGGGGCUUUCCUGGUUCUGUCAAUUAAAACUAAAGUUUGAAAAUAA